rnacentral:rRNA from 1 species
UGAAUACGAGAUGCUACGGCAUUGAAGCAGUGUAUGUCAGACUUCCAAGAAAAGCUCGCAAUGUCAUAAACAAUAAAUGCCUGUACCAUAACCGACACAGGUGGGUAGGUAGAGUAUACUAAGGGGCGCGAGAUAACUCUCUCUAAGGAACUCGGCAAAAUGACUCCGUAACUUCGGGAGAAGGAGUGCCUUAUUUUAUAAGGUUGCAAUAACAAGAUCCAAGCAACUGUUUACCAAAAACACAGGUCUCCGCUAAGUCGAAAGACGAUGUAUGGGGGCUGACGCCUGCCCAGUGCCAGAAGGUUAAAGAAGUUGGUUAGCUUCGGCGAAGCUGAUGACUGAAGCCCUGGUGAACGGCGGCCGUAACAAUAACGGUCCUAAGGUAGCGAAAUUCCUUGUCGGGUAAGUUCCGACCCGCACGAAAGGCGUAAUGAUUUGGAUACUGUCUCGGAGAGGGGCUCGGUGAAAUAGACUUGUCUGUGAAGAUGCGGACUACCUGCACCUGGACAGAAAGACCCUAUGAAGCUUUACUGUAACUUGAGAUUGAAAUUGGACUUUAUUUGCGCAGUAUAGGUGGGAGACGUUGAGAAUAUUCUUGCGGGAAUAUUGGAGUCAUCAGUGAGAUACCACUCUUGUAAUGUUAGAUUUCUAACUUUGUAUCAUUAUCUGGUCAAAGGACAGUUUCAGGCGGGCAGUUUGACUGGGGCGGUCGCCUCCUAAACGGUAACGGAGGCGCACAAAGGUUUCCUCUGAACGUGUAGAAAUCGUAUCUAGAGUGUAAAGGCAUAAGGAAGCUUGACUGUGAGACCUACAAGUCGAGCAGGGACGAAAGUCGGUCUUAGUGAUCUGACGGUGCUGAGUGGAAAGGCCGUCACUCAACGGAUAAAAGUUACUCUAAGGAUAACAGGCUGAUCUCCCCCAAGAGUUCACAUCGACGGGGAGGUUUGGCACCUGAUGUCGGCUCAUCGCAUCCUGGGGCGGUAGUACGUCCCAAGGGUUGGGCUGUUCGCCCAUGAAAGCGGUACGCGAGCUGGGUUCAGAACGUCGUGAGACAGUUCGGUCCAUAUCCGGUGUAGGCGUUAGAAUAUUGAGAGGAGCCUUCUUUAGUACGAGAGGACCGAGAAGGACAUACCUCUGGUGUACCAGUUAUCGUGCCAACGGUAAACGCUGGGUAGCUAUGUAUGGAGUGGAUAACCGCUGAAAGCAUCUAAGUGGGAAGCCCACCUCAAGAUAAGUAUUCUC